rnacentral:tRNA from 1 species
GGGGGUGUGGUUCAGUGAAAGAGUGCUUGCCUGGCAGGUAUAAGGUUCUGGGUUCUACUCCUAGCACUACCA